rnacentral:sRNA from 1 species
ACUAACGAGCCAAGCUGACCACAACAACAAUGACUUGUCGCACACUUGAGCCUUUGAAAGGAUAACAAUUUGUCACAAGAGGGAAAAUGGGCGAAGUAGGCACACACCAACACACACACACGCACACAGUUUGUAUCUAGCAGCGGGUUGAAUUUGUUUUCGAUUUGCGUGAAAGUGAAAUAUGUUUUGGUGACAUUAAGCCGACGGAAUCAGGAUUAGAGGCAGCAUCCUGCGAGGACAAUGGGCCAGCGCCGUCCUUUAUUCGUGGCACGUGCUCAUCUUUCCACUUUCGAUGCACACAUCCCCACUAUUUGAAAGCCCACACAAAAUCCGGUACUUAGCCAAAGCCUGCAAUGUGUUUUAGUUGAGUUUAUGAAUAAAAUUACACAGGAGCAACGGAGGUCAGGCCGCAGAGGUCAGAGGAGCGGAUGUGGUUGGGGCGGAGCUGGCUCAUAUCAACGCCAACAAUGGAUAAUAAGCGUAUCCACUUAAUGGUUGCCAAGGUGCCGAGGUGGAGCAGGCGGCGGGAGCACCAGCACUGUGGAGCUGCGAGUGCCAAACCCGCGGUCAAAUGCCAGCGAACAAUGCCAAAUUGUGGGUGGUGGGUGUUCCUGGUUGGGUGGUUGUGGGUGUGAGUACGUGUGUGCCAAAAAUCCUUUGGCCGUAAUCAAGCGGAAAAUAGCACAAUGACUAUCUACAAUAUAUCUGGGACAAUGGAAGACACUGGCAGCAGGCAGGAGGAAAACUGGCGAUUGUCAGUUGAAAAACAAAGGCAUUUUCCACCCACACGAACGGUUAAUCAGUGCGAAAGGGGGCGGGCACAUUUCGGCAGGCAGGGGGCGUGGCAUGGCGUACAAGCAGAACAGACCAAACUGUUACAAGAAGUCGAUGCGAUGAGAUUUCGGGCAAUCAGCGGGUGGAUUAAAGAGUUCUUAAGCAAAUAAACUUCAAAUGAUAUGAUUUAUAACAAAAAUCUUGUUAAAUUA